UAAAAAAAGGUAAGCUACUAAGAGCGAAUGGUGGAUGCCUUGACUGGUAAAGGCGAUGAAGGACGUACUAGACUGCGAUAAGCUACGGGGAGCUGUCAAGAAGCUUUGAUCCGUAGAUUUCCGAAUGGGGCAACCCAAUGUAUAGAGAUAUACAUUACCUAUAUAGGAGCGAACGAGGGGAAUUGAAACAUCUUAGUACCCUCAGGAAAAGAAAUCAAUAGAGAUUGCGUCAGUAGCGGCGAGCGAAAGCGCAAGAGGGCAAACCCAGUGCUUGCACUGGGGGUUGUAGGACUGCAAUGUGCAAGAGGUAAGUUUAGCAGAACAUUCUGGAAAGUAUAACCAUAGAGGGUGAUAGUCCCGUAUGCGAAAAACAAACCUUAGCUAGCAGUAUCCUGAGUAGGGCGGGACACGAGGAAUCCUGUCUGAAUCCGGGUCGACCACGAUCCAACCCUAAAUACUAAUACCAGAUCGAUAGUGCACAAGUACCGUGAGGGAAAGGUGAAAAGAACUGAGGUGAUCAGAGUGAAAUAGAACCUGAAACCAUUUGCUUACAAUCAUUCAGAGCCCUAUGUAGCAAUACAGGGUGAUGGACUGCCUUUUGCAUAAUGAGCCUGCGAGUUGUGGUGUCUGGCAAGGUUAAGCAAACGCGAAGCCGUAGCGAAAGCGAGUCUGAAUAGGGCGCUUAGUCAGAUGCUGCAGACCCGAAACGAAGUGAUCUAUCCAUGAGCAAGUUGAAGCUAGUGUAAGAACUAGUGGAGGACUGAACCCAUAGGCGUUGAAAAGCCCCGGGAUGACUUGUGGAUAGGGGUGAAAGGCCAAUCAAACUUCGUGAUAGCUGGUUCUCUCCGAAAUAUAUUUAGGUAUAGCGUUGUGUCGUAAUAUAAGGGGGUAGAGCACUGAAUGGGCUAGGGCAUACACCAAUGUACCAAACCCUAUCAAACUCCGAAUACCUUAUAUGUAAUCACAGCAGUCAGGCGGCGAGUGAUAAAAUCCGUCGUCAAGAGGGAAACAACCCAGACUACCAGCUAAGGUCCCUAAAUCUUACUUAAGUGGAAAACGAUGUGAAGUUACUUAAACAACCAGGAGGUUGGCUUAGAAGCAGCCAUCCUUUAAAGAAAGCGUAAUAGCUCACUGGUCUAGUGAUUUUGCGCGGAAAAUA
rnacentral:rRNA from 1 species